GACGAACGCUGGCGGCGUGCUUAACACAUGCAAGUCGAGCGGUAAGGCCCUUUCGGGGGUACACGAGCGGCGAACGGGUGAGUAACACGUGGGUGACCUGCCCUCAGCUCUGGGAUAAGCUUGGGAAACCGGGUCUAAUACUGGAUAUGACUCCAUGACGCAUGUUGUGGGGUGGAAAGCCUUGUGCGGCUGAGGAUGGGCCCGCGGCCUAUCAGCUUGUUGGUGGGGUGANGGCCUACCAAGGCGACGACGGGUAGCCGGCCUGAGAGGGCGACCGGCCACACUGGGACUGAGACACGGCCCAGACUCCUACGGGAGGCAGCAGUGGGGAAUCUUGCGCAAUGGGCGAAAGCCUGACGCAGCGACGCCGCGUGAGGGAUGACGGCCU
rnacentral:rRNA from 1 species